UGGUGAAGAAUUACCAUCAAAGCAGAGUGGC
rnacentral:piRNA from 1 species